rnacentral:misc_RNA from 1 species
GAUGAGAACGCAGCGAAAUGCGAUAAGUAAUGUGAAUUGCAGAAUUCAGUGAAUCAUCGAAUCUUUGAACGCACCUUGCACCCUUUGGCAUUCCGAAGGGUAUGCUCGUUUGAGUGUCAUUGUACUCUCACACUCCCAAUUGCUUUGGAUUGGGAGCGGUGGACUUGGGUGUUGCUGCUUGACUGAGGCUCACCUGAAAUAUGUUAGUGCACCUCUUGAUUGGCCAUAGUACGGCGUGAUAAGUGUCUUCGCCGGCUCCUCGCAAAGAGGGUGGCCGAUCGGGAGCUCUGUUGCUUCAAACUGUCUUCGGACAAUCUUCCGGCGACUUGACCUCAAAUCGAGUAGGACUACCCGCUGAACUUAAGCAUAUCAAUAAGCGGAGGA